rnacentral:rRNA from 1 species
GACGAACCGUGCGAACGUUGUUCGGAAUCACUGGGCUUAAAGGGCGCGUAGGCGGCUUGCCAAGUCAGGGGUGAAAUCUUUCGGCUCAACCGGAAAAGUGCCUCUGAUACUGGCGAACUCGAGGGAGGUAGGGGUAUGUGGAACUUCCGGUGGAGCGGUGAAAUGCGUUGAUAUCGGAAGGAACGUCGGUGGCGAAAGCGACGUACUGGACCUCUUCUGACGCUGAGGCGCGAAAGCUAGGGGAGCAAACGGG